rnacentral:rRNA from 1 species
UUCAGAUUGGGGUCUGCAACCCGACCCCAUGAAGUCGGAAUCGGUAGUAAUCGCAGAUCAGCAGGCUGCGGUGAAUACGUUCUCGGGUCUUGUACACACCGCCCGUCAAGCCAACAAAGUUGGAGGCGGCCGAAGAGCCCCCCGAUUCGGGGGGAGCUAAGCCGAAUCCAGCGAUGGGGACUAAGUCGUAACAAGGUAUCCCUAGCCGAAGCUGGGGAUGGAUCACCUCCUUUCUAU